CUCCGGCACCUGCAGGCUCACCAGGUCCCGGAAGAGCCGCUUGGAGCGCGGCACGUUCAGCCCUGAGAGCGCAGCGGGGACGGAGGAAGUGCUGUGGAACAUCAGAUAGAAUGGAUAGCACAGCCCAAAUUUUACAAAAAGGAUUUUAAAGGAAGAUCUCAAUGGUGGAACACUAGAGGCUUUCCUGCUAAAGUUAAGAACAAGCAAAGGCUGACGCAGUUUUGGCAUGCAGGAAGUGUUGGAGCUGAGACUCGAAACUGUCCCCCAGGCCUUGGCCAUGCUGAUAAAUAUCUAGGCCCUACAGGAGUUCGUGUCCAUGAACCCAGUAAACGCAAUUCCUCAGCCUUAAAAUCUAGUCACUGACUCAUUUCAGGCCCCAGCACAGACGAAAACAAGCCAUUCUGUUUGCCCAGUUUACAUUGCGGGUCUCCAAGAAGUGGAAUGUUCACCAAUGAUUUUAAGAAAACAGGGCCUGGCGCGGUGGCUCACGCCUGUAAUCCCAGCACUUUGGGAGGCCGAGGCAGGCAGAUCACCUGAG
rnacentral:lncRNA from 1 species